CCUACGGGUGGCAGCAGUGGGGAAUAUUGGGCAAUGGGCGAAAGCCUGAACCAGCAACGCCGCGUGCAGGAAGAAGGCUCUCCGGUUGUAAACUUCUUUUGACAGGGAAGAGCAGAAGACGGUACCUGUCGAAUAAGCCACGGCUAACUACGUGCCAGCCGCCGCGGUAAUACGGCGGUGGCAAGCGUUGUACGGAUUUACUGGGUGUAAAGGGCGUGUAGCCGGGCUGAAAAGUCAGAUGUGAAAUCCGGGGGCUCAACCCCCGAACUGCAGUUGAAAAUGUUGGUCUUGAGUAUCCGAGGGGCAGGCGGAAUUCCUGGUGUAGCGGUGAAAUGCUUAGAUAUUAGGAGGAACACCAGUGGCGAAGGCGGCCGGCUGGACGACAACUGACGGUGAGGCGCGAAAGCGUGGGGAGCAAACAGGAUUAGAUACCCUUGUAGUC
rnacentral:rRNA from 1 species